rnacentral:rRNA from 1 species
GACGAACGCUGGCGGCGCGCUUUAUACAUGCAAGUCGAACGAGAAGCCAGAGCUUGCUCUGGUGGAAAGUGGCGAACGGGUGAGUAACACGUGAGAAACCUGCCCAAAGACUGGGAUAAGCCGAGGAAACUUGGUCUAAUACCGGAUACCUUCUUUUUAUCACAUGUUAAAAAGAAGAAAUGCUCCGGCGCUUUGGGAUGGUCUCGCGACCUAUCAGCUUGUUAGUGAGGUAAAAGCUCACCAAGGCAUCGACGGGUAGCUGGUCUGAGAGGAUGUCCAGCCACAUUGGGACUGAGAUACGGCCCAAACUCCUACGGGAGGCAGCAGUAGGGAAUCUUGCACAAUGAGGGAAACCUUGAUGCAGCGACGCCGCGUGCGGGACGAAGGCCCUAGGGUGUAAACCGCUUCAGUAGGGACGAAAGUGACGGUACCUACAGAAGAAGCCCGGCCAACUAUGUAGCCAGCAGCCGCGGUAAU